CUCCUCCGCAUGCGUGGCCUGCCUCCGCCCUCCGGUCUCUCAGGAUGCUGGGCGAGGGUGGCCCCUCUCUGGCAACCCGCGCAGGGCCUGGCCCGCUCCCUUGGCUACAGUUUGCACUGGGGCCGGCAGUUCGAGCGUUUGCAAGGGUUCUCCCGAGCUCCCGCCGGGCGUGUGAGCCGCUUUGAAUUCGGAGACGGAGAGUGUGUCAGGAUAAGGCCGGACGUGGUGGCGCAUGCCUAUAAUCCCAGCACUCAGAAGGCUGAGGCAGGAGGAGUGCCAAAAGAUUGAGUCCAGCCUGGGCUACAUAGUGAGAUCCUGUCUCACCCGCCUCCACAAAAAGAAAAGAAGGAUUUCUCCAGAAAGUGCAGUCCUCAGUGGUCUCAAGAAUACAACUUCUAGUUACCCAGCAGCAAGGUCCUGGGCCCUAAAAUACAAAGGUGUUGGGAGUGUUACUCUUAUGCAGUCCACCUGAUCUUGUCUUUGCCUAAUCGGAGAUGACUGCCCGGGAGACGGAUCCCUGUCUGUAUUCAGCAGCUAUCCUGAGUAGAACUUUUCCUCUUGCCUAACUGGGAAUGGAUUUCACAAAAGUCCCAUGUAAUUAAGAUCACAAUUCUCCCAGCGAAGAUCUGGCUUUCCUAGACUUCACUUCCCAUCUCUUUGAACAUUAAUAUGUUAGAUUUGCCACAAAUUAAAUUAUAAAGGCACAUUCUUUGCAUGUUCUCAUUAUUGCAUUCCAAGAUAUUGCCAAGGAUUACAGUUAAGUAGCAGCGGAAGGAAAUACUUGUGUUUGUCUAGUGUUCCCCGGUCACAGACUUCCAG
ensembl:lncRNA